GUUAAAUUUCCCAGCGGACUAAUGAUAAAAGUUACGCGAAUUGCCCCGUUCCAAGGGAGGGGAGAGCCGACGGGACUCCAUAGGCGGCAGGACAUUGCGGCCCCGUCUUGGUAGUAUAUGUAUGUACAUACCGUUAAAUACAUUGCGGCAUUCAAGUUAAUUUACCACAAACAGCUGCCCGAAAGGAAAUAAAGUAA